CCUACGGGGGGCAGCAGUGAGGAAUAUUGGUCAAUGGACGAGAGUCUGAACCAGCCAAGUAGCGUGAAGGAUGACUGCCCUAUGGGUUGUAAACUUCUUUUAUAUGGGAAUAAAUUGUCCCACGUGUGGGAUUUUGUAUGUACCAUAUGAAUAAGGAUCGGCUAACUCCGUGCCAGCAGCCGCGGUAAUACGGAGGAUCCGAGCGUUAUCCGGAUUUAUUGGGUUUAAAGGGAGCGUAGGUGGAUUGUUAAGUCAGUUGUGAAAGUUUGCGGCUCAACCGUAAAAUUGCAGUUGAAACUGGCAGUCUUGAGUACAGUAGAGGUGGGCGGAAUUCGUGGUGUAGCGGUGAAAUGCUUAGAUAUCACGAAGAACUCCGAUUGCGAAGGCAGUUCACUGGACUGCAACUGACACUGAGGCUCGAAAGUGUGGGUAUCAAACAGGAUUAGAUACCCUAGUAGUC
rnacentral:rRNA from 1 species